rnacentral:rRNA from 2 species
UUUAGUAUGUUGUUGUAGACCCGAAACCAGGUGACCUACCCAUGUCCAGGAUGAAGAUGCGGUAAAACGCAUUGGAGGUCCGAACCCGUGUCUGUUGAAAAAGGCUGGGAUGAGGUGUGGGUAGCGGUGAAAUUCCAAACGAACUUGGAGAUAGCUGGUUCUCUCCGAAAUAGCUUUAGGGCUAGCCUCGGAAUUAAGAAUCGUGGAGGUAGAGCCACUGUUUGGACUAGGGGCCCAUCUCGGGUUACCAAAUUCAGAUAAACUCCGAAUGCCAUAGAUUUAUGUCCGGGAGUCAGACGAUGAGUGAUAAGAUCCACCGUCGAAAGGGGAACAGCCCAGACCGCCAGUUAAGGUCCCUAAAUAUAUGUUAAGUGGAAAAGGAUGUGGAGUUGCAUAGACAACUAGGAUGUUGGCUCAGAAGCAGCCACCAUUUAAAGAGUGCGUAAUAGCUCACUAGUCGAGUGAUUCUGCGCCGAAAAUGUACCGGGGCUAAACAUAUUACCGAAACUGCGGGUGCCACGUAAGUGGCGCGAUAGGAGAGCGUUCUAAGGGCGAUGAAGGUAGACCGUGAGGACUGCUGGAGCGCUUAGAAGUGAGAAUGCCGGUAUGAGUAGCGAAAGACAGGUGAGAAUCCUGUCCACCGAAUGACUAAGGUUUCCUGGGGAAGGCUCGUCCACCCAGGGUUAGUCGGGACCUAAGGCGAGGCCGAGAGGCGUAGUCGAUGGAUAACAGGUUGAUAUUCCUGUACUAGGUUAUAUUUGUUUGAACGAUGGAGGGACGCAGAAGGAUAAUGGAUGCACACGACUGGAAAUGUGUGUUUAAAUCGUAAGUCUUGAUAAGAGUUAAAUGCUUUUAUCUUUAAGGACAAGCGAUGAUGAGGACCGAAAUAUAAGUAGGGAAGUCCAUGAUUUCACGCUGCCGAGAAAAGCUUCUAGUGAGAAUAUACCUACCCGUACCGCAAACCGACACAGGUAGUCGAGGAGAGAAUCCUAAGGUGUGCGAGAGAACUCUCGUUAAGGAACUCGGCAAAAUGACCCCGUAACUUCGGGAGAAGGGGUGCUGACCGCAAGGUCAGCCGCAGUGAAUAGGCCCAGGCGACUGUUUAUCAAAAACACAGGUUUCUGCAAAAUCGUAAGAUGACGUAUAGGGGCUGACGCCUGCCCGGUGCUGGAAGGUUAAAAGGAUGGCUUAGCGUAAGCGAAGGUCAGAAUUGAAGCCCCAGUAAACGGCGGCCGUAACUAUAACGGUCCUAAGGUAGCGAAAUUCCUUGUCGGGUAAGUUCCGACCCGCACGAAAGGCGUAACGAUCUGGGCACUGUCUCAACGAGAGACUCGGUGAAAUUUAAAUACCCGUGAAGAUGCGGGUUACCCGCGACAGGACGGAAAGACCCCAUGGAGCUUUACUGUAGCUUGAUAUUGAGUGUUUGUGCAGCUUGUACAGGAUAGGUAGGAGCCGUAGAAAUCGGGACGCUAGUUUCGAUAGAGGCGUUGGUGGGAUACUACCCUCGCUGUAUGACCACUCUAACUCGCACCACUAAGCGUGGUGGAAGACAGUGUCUGGCAGGCAGUUUGACUGGGGCGGUCGCCUCCUAAAAGGUAACGGAGGCGCCCAAAGGUUCCCUCAGAAUGGUUGGAAAUCAUUCGCAGAGUGUAAAGGCAGAAGGGAGCUUGACUGUGAGACUAACAGGUCGAGCAGGUACGAAAGUAGGGCUUAGUGAUCCGGUGGUUCCGCAUGGAAGGGCCAUCGCUCAACGGAUAAAAGCUACCCUGGGGAUAACAGGCUUAUCUCCCCCAAGAGUCCACAUCGACGGGGAGGUUUGGCACCUCGAUGUCGGCUCAUCGCAUCCUGGGGCUGUAGUCGGUCCCAAGGGUUGGGCUGUUCGCCCAUUAAAGCGGUACGCGAGCUGGGUUCAGAACGUCGUGAGACAGUUCGGUCCCUAUCCGUCGCGGGCGCAGGAAAUUUGAGAGGAGCUGUCCUUAGUACGAGAGGACCGGGAUGGACAUACCGCUGGUGUACCAGUUGUUCCGCCAGGAGCAUCGCUGGGUAGCUAUGUAUGGAUGAGAUAAACGCUGAAAGCAUCUAAGUGUGAAACUCGCCUCGAGAUGAGAUUUCCCAUUUCUUUAUGAAAGUAAGACCCCUCAAAGAUGAUGAGGUAGAUAGGUUAGAAGUGGAAGUACGGUGACGUAUGGAGCGGACUAAUACUAAUCGGUCGAGGACUUAACCAC